GCAGUCCCACUUUCAAGCAAUUAAGCAGACUGGCGAUCCGGUCAUUUGAUUGUAACAUCAUUGCAAUCACAUGGCCUAAGAGGGCCGUGUUUGCUGCAGGGGGACUGUAUGACUAUCCGCUGGGAAUGCUAUGCUGCCCUGCAGUGUUAAAGACCACAUUUUUCAGGAAGACAUAGCACGCCCAACGUCCCUAAGGGGUUAAUUGUGGUUUUGAACGCCAAAUAACUACAAAAAGUAUAUACUUUUCUAAAGAAGACGUACCAGGAUUUUCAAAGGGGCAUAUUUAAAACCUUUUUUUGUGU